AGGUCGGAGUGUGUGAAGGUCGGAGUGUGUGAAGGUCUGAAGGUCAGAGUGUGUGAAGGUCUGAAGGUCAGAGUGUGUGAAGGUCUGAAGGUCAGAGUGUGUGAAGGUCAGAUGGUGUCACAGGUCUGAAGGUCAGAGUGUGUGAAGGUCGGAGUGUGUGAAGGUCGGAGUGUGUGAAGGUCUGAAGGUCAGAGUGUGUGAAGGUCUGAAGGUCAGAGUGUCUGAAGGUCAGAGUGUCUGAAGGUCAGAGUGUCUGAAGGUCUGAAGGUCAGAGUGUCUGAAGGUCAGUGUCUGAAGGUCUGAAGGUC